UACGUAGGGUGCAAGCGUUGUCCGGAAUUAUUGGGCGUAAAGAGCUCGUAGGCGGUUUGUCGCGCCUGCUGUGAAAACUCGGGGCUCAACUCCGAGCUUGCAGUGGGUACGGGCAGACUAGAGUGCGGUAGGGGAGACUGGAAUUCCUGGUGUAGCGGUGAAAUGCGCAGAUAUCAGGAGGAACACCAAUGGCGAAGGCAGCUCUCUGGGACGGUACUGACGCUGAGACGCGAAAGCGUGGGGAGCAAACAGG
rnacentral:rRNA from 1 species